UACGUAGGGUGCGAGCGUUGUCCGGAAUUACUGGGCGUAAAGAGCUCGUAGGUGGUUUGUCGCGUUGUUCGUGAAACCCGGGGGCUUAACCCUCGGCGUGCGGGCGAUACGGGCAGACUUGAGUACUGCAGGGGAGACUGGAAUUCCUGGUGUAGCGGUGGAAUGCGCAGAUAUCAGGAGGAACACCGGUGGCGAAGGCGGGUCUCUGGGCAGUAACUGACGCUGAGGAGCGAAAGCGUGGGGAGCGAACAGG
rnacentral:rRNA from 1 species